GUGCAGGGCGGAGCUACCAUGCAGUCGAGCGGUAACAGAUCCAGCUUGCUGGAUGCUGACGAGCGGCGGACGGGUGAGUAAUGCAUAGGAAUCUGCCCGAUAGUGGGGGAUAACCUGGGGAAACCCAGGCUAAUACCGCAUACGUCCUACGGGAGAAAGGGGGCUCCGGCUCCCGCUAUGGGAUGAGCCUAUGUCGGAUUAGCUAGUUGGUGAGGUAACGGCUCACCAAGGCCACGAUCCGUAGCUGGUCUGAGAGGAUGAUCAGCCACAUCGGGACUGAGACACGGCCCGAACUCCUACGGGAGGCAGCAGUGGGGAAUAUUGGACAAUGGGGGAAACCCUGAUCCAGCCAUGCCGCGUGUGUGAAGAAGGCCCUCGGGUUGUAAAGCACUUUCAGCGAGGAAGAACGCCUAGCGGUUAAUACCCGCUAGGAAAGACAUCACUCGCAGAAGAAGCACCGGCUAACUCCGUGCCAGCAGCCGCGGUAAUACGGAGGGUGCAAGCGUUAAUCGGAAUUACUGGG
rnacentral:rRNA from 1 species